rnacentral:rRNA from 1 species
UACGUAGGUGGCAAGCGUUGUCCGGAUUUACUGGGCGUAAAGGGCGUGCAGGCGGUUUGUUAAGUGCAGGGUGAAAGCUCCCGGCUCAACUGGGAGAGGUCCUUGCAUACUGGCGAACUCGAGGGAGGCAGAGGAAAGUGGAAUUCCCGGUGUAGUGGUGAUAUGCGUAGAUAUCGGGAGGAACACCUGUGGCGAAGGCGGCAUCCUGGACCGGCAUUGACGCUGAGGCGCGAAAGCCAGGGGAGCAAACGGG